rnacentral:rRNA from 1 species
UAAUACGGAGGGUGCGAGCGUUAAUCGGAAUUACUGGGCGUAAAGCGUACGCAGGCGGUUUGUUAAGCGAGAUGUGAAAGCCCCGGGCUCAACCUGGGAACUGCAUUUCGAACUGGCAAACUAGAGUGUGAUAGAGGGUGGUAGAAUUUCAGGUGUAGCGGUGAAAUGCGUAGAGAUCUGAAGGAAUACCGAUGGCGAAGGCAGCCACCUGGGUCAACACUGACGCUCAUGUACGAAAGCGUGGGGAGCAAACAGGAUUAGAUACCCUGGUAGUCCACGCCGUAAACGAUGUCUACUAGAAGCUCGGGUCUUCGGACUUGUUUUUCAAAGCUAACGCAUUAAGUAGACCGCCUGGGGAGUACGGCCGCAAGGUUA